UUUGUGGCUUUUCAUUAGCCCCCAUUUGGGGGGACAUUCUGGCUAAUAGGGCACUUAUUAAAGACUUAGUAUGGUUUUAUAUUGGCCAAAUGUAAAGUUUGAUAUAUGUCAAUGGGUUGUUGUAUGUGUAUAUGCCAAAGAAUUAAGAAUGAGAAUGUUCACUAUCUUGGAUUACUUCAACCCCUACCUAUUCCUGAGGCUUUUUGGAAAGACAUAGCAAUGGAUUUCAUUGAGGGGAUUCCUAUUUUUAAGCAUAAAAAUUCUAUUCUCAUAGUGGUUGAUAAAUUGAUAAAAUGGUCAUAUUUUAUGGGAAUUUGAUGGAAAUGAGUUAGUACAAAGUUGGAAGAGAAGUAAAAUGAGCAAGAAGAGCUGAAGAAUCAGGUCCAGGAGACGACCCUCAGAUGCUGGAUCGCAAUCUUCAUUAGUCAGAAAGUCAAAGUUAUGCAAUCACAGUAAGAAACUAUGUGAUCGUAGAAUCAUGAUCCCAGCCAAGAGAAGGCGAUCCCGAUAGGCAAAGAAAUUUUCAAGGGCAAAACUAGAAUUUUACAGAGCUGAAUCCCAAAGAUACAAAAGGCUAAACCCUUGCACAAUUAGGGUAUCUUUUUCUAAAUUUUUAGUUUUGAGGAGAGAAGAAACACUCUAUUUUUGAGUUGAGAACAAUUUGUUAGUCUUAUUCCAAGAGAUUUUGGUUGUAAAUUGAGAUUCGAGUUUAGGUUUACUCUUAUUUAGAUUAUGAUGGACCAAUUGAAUGAAAAUGUGGGUAUAUGUCCUCUCUUUAAUUUCAUGAGUAACUGUAAUAUCCUGUAAGAUCCUAUCUCAAUUCAGUUCACAAUUGCAUGUUAAA